AGCGCCUUUAAUUUAGUCCUGUGAGGCUAAGAAGGUAUACGAAGCACUGCGCAUUUGAUCUCAGUGUAUCUCAGCGCAAACUUAAACUAUACAAACUUCGUAUGACUCCUUGUCGAACUGGACAAGGAGUCUUUUUUU
rfam:Lactobacillus composti DSM 18527 = JCM 14202 strain DSM 18527 NODE_6, whole genome shotgun sequence.